UACGUAGGGUGCGAGCGUUGUCCGGAAUUAUUGGGCGUAAAGAGCUCGUAGGCGGUGUGUCGCGUCGGCCGUGAAAACCUGCAGCUUAACUGUGGGCUUGCGGUCGAUACGGGCAUCACUGGAGUUCGGCAGGGGAGACUGGAAUUCCUGGUGUAGCGGUGAAAUGCGCAGAUAUCAGGAGGGAACACCGGUGGCGAAGGCGGGUCUCUGGGCCGAUACUGACG
rnacentral:rRNA from 1 species